rnacentral:rRNA from 1 species
GAUGAACGCUAGCUACAGGCUUAACACAUGCAAGUCGAGGGGAAACGACAUCGAAAGCUUGCUUUUGAUGGGCGUCGACCGGCGCACGGGUGAGUAACGCGUAUCCAACCUGCCCACCACUUGGGGAUAACCUUGCGAAAGUAAGACUAAUACCCAAUGAUAUCUCUAGAAGACAUCUGAAGGAGAAUAAAGAUUUAUCGGUGAUGGAUGGGGAUGCGUCUGAUUAGCGUGUUGGCGGGGUAACGGCCCACCAAGGCGACGAUCAGUAGGGGUUCGGAGAGGAAGGUCCCCCACAGUGGAACUGAGACACGGUCCAAACUCCUACGGGAGGCAGCAGCGAGGAAUAUUGGUCAAUGGGCGAGAGCCUGAACCAGCCAAGUAGCGUGCAGGAUGACGGCCCUAUGGGUUGUAAACUGCUUUUAUAAGGGAAUAAAGUGAGUCUCGUGAGACUUUUUGCAUGUACCUUAUGAAUAAGGACCGGCUAAUUCCGUGCCAGCCGCCGCGGUAA